AGAAGUAUAAACUCCUAAGAAAAGAAGAUAAACAGAAAAACCCAACAGCCUAGACUCAGGAAGAAAAAAAAAGAGCUAAGAACUACUUCGUAAAGAUACUGCUGUGAAAUGACAACUAUGGGAAAUAAAAUUUAGUAUGUAA